rnacentral:lncRNA from 1 species
GAAAUGAGAUAAUAUGGAAAGCAAAACUGAAGUAACAAGGAGAUGAAGCUCAGAAAGGCCUGGAAAAGCACCAGAAGGGAGGAACGCACAAAGCUUGGGUGCCCUUUGAGGAGCCCUCAGUGCCAGAGAGUGCCACACACUGCCGGGGCACCCCUUUUGGGGCAUUGAACGCCAUUUUCCUGAAGAACCUCGCCUGCUUGCCCUUUUAGGGGCGUUGAAGUGGGGCGUUGAGCACCACUCGGG